rnacentral:rRNA from 1 species
AGUUUGACUGGGGCGGUCUCCUCCCAAAGCGUAACGGAGGAGCACGAAGGUUAGCUAAUCCUGGUCGGACAUCAGGAGGUUAGUGCAAUGGCAUAAGCUAGCUUGACUGCGAGCGUGACGGCGCGAGCAGGUGCGAAAGCAGGUCAUAGUGAUCCGGUGGUUCUGAAUGGAAGGGCCAUCGCUCAACGGAUAAAAGGUACUCCGGGGAUAACAGGCUGAUACCGCCCAAGAGUUCAUAUCGACGGCGGUGUUUGGCACCUCGAUGUCGGCUCAUCACAUCCUGGGGCUGAAGUAGGUCCCAAGGGUAUGGCUGUUCGCCAUUUAAAGUGGUACGCGAGCUGGGUUUAGAACGUCGUGAGACAGUUCGGUCCCUAUCUGCCGUGGGCGCUGGAGAAUUGAGGGGGGCUGCUCCUAGUACGAGAGGACCGGAGUGGACGCAUCACUGGUGUUCGGGUUGUCAUGCCAAUGGCACUGCCCGG